UCGAUUCUUGAAACCAUUACCUUUUCUGAAGCAAGACUAGCUAGCACCCAAGGUGCCCUGGCAGGUGUAGGUUUAUCCAUUGGCUACCCGUUGGAGCAUCACUUGCGGUGCUCUUUGUAAUGUCACUUGGUGGGUUUUGUAGAAAUGACUGUCUAGAGACGUUUUAUCUGUUGGAAAUAUGCCCUAGAGGCAAUAAUAAAAGUGUUAUUAUUAUAUUUCUUUGUUCAUGAUAAUAGUCUUUUAUUCAUGCUAUAACUGUAUUAUCCAGAAAUCGUAAUACACGUGUGAAUACAUAGACCACAAUAUGUCCCUAGUGAGCCUCUAGUUGACUAGCUCGUUGUGAUCAACAGAUAGUCAUGGUUUCCUGGCUAUGGACAUUGGAUGUCGUUGAUAACGGGAUCACAUCAUUAGGAGAAUGAUGUGAUGGACAAGACCCAAUCCUAAGCAUAGCACAAAGGUCGGUUAGUUCGUUUGCUAGAGCUUUUCCAAUGUCAAGUAUCUCUUCCUUAGACCAUGAGAUCGUGUAACUCCCGGAUACCGUAGGAGUGCUUUGGGUGUACCAAACGUCACAACGUAACUGGGUGACUAUAAAGGUGCAUUACAGGUAUCUCCGAAAGUGUCUGUUGGGUUGACACGGAUCGAGACUGGGAUUUGUCACUCCGUGUUACGGAGAGGUAUCACUGGGCCCACUCGGUAGUGCAUCAUCAUAAUGAGCUCAAGGUGGUCAAGUGUCUGGUCACGGGAUAAUGCAUUACGGUACGAGUAAAGUGACUUGCCGGUAACGAGACUGAACGAGGUAUUGGGAUACCGACGAUCGAGUCUCGGGCAAGUAACAUACCGUCUGAUAAAGGGAAUAGUAUACGGGGUUGCUUGAACCCUUGACAUCGUGGUUCAUCCGAUGACAACAUCGAGGAGCAUGUGGGAGCCAAUAUGGGUAUCCAGAUCCCGCUGUUGGUUAUUGACCUGAGAGCAUCUCGGUCAUGUCUGCAUGUCUCCCGAACCCGUAGGGUCUACACACUUAAGGUUCGGUGACGCUAGGGUUAUUAGGAAGACUUGUAUGUGAUUACCGAAUGUUGUUCGGAGUCCCGGAUGAGAUCCCGGACGUCACGAGGAGUUCCGGAAUGGUCCGGAGGUAAAGAUUUAUAUAUGGACAGUUGUUAAACGGACUCCGAAAAGUUUCGGGGGCAUACCGGUAUUGUACCGGGGCCACCGGAAGGGUUCCGGGGGUCCACCGGGAGGGGCCACCCCUCCCGGGGGGGGCACAUGGGCUGUGUGGGAGAGGGAGCCAGCCCCUGGUGGGCUGGGCGCGCCUCCCCACCUAGGCCCAUGCGGCUAAGGCAUGGGAGGGGGAAACCCUAAAGGGGGCGCCCCCCUAGCUUGGGGGGCAAGCCUCCCCUCUUUCCCCUCUCCCUUUGGCCGCCGCCCCCCCUCUAGGGUUUCCCCUAGAGGGCCGGCCCCCCUUGCCCCUUCCCCUAUGAAUAGAGGGGUGAGGGGAGGGCAGCGACACAACAAGCCAAGGCGCAGCCCCUCCCCUCCCCAACACCUCUCCUCCUCCGUACGUGCUUGGCGAAGCCCUGUCGGAGUACUGCUGCACCAACAACACCACGCCGUCGUGCUGCCGUUGGAGCUGUCUUCCUCAACCUCUCCUUCCUCCUUGUUGGAUCAAGACGGAGGAGACGUCGCCCGUACCGUACGUGUGUUGAACGCGGAGGUGCUGUCCGUUCAGCACUUGGUCAUCGGUGAUCCGAAUCACGUCGAGUACGACUCCAUUAUCACCAUCCCCUUGAACGCUUCCGCACACGAUCUACAAGUGGUAUGUAGAUGCAAACUCACUCCCUUGACUCGUUGCUUAGAUGAACUCAUAGAUGGAUCUUGGUGAAACCGUAGGAAAAAUUUUAAUUUUCUGCAACGUUCCCCAACAUUAUCUUGAUAAUUGACAACAUAAGAGUGCAAAAUAUUUGACAGCAGAUCGCUUAUGGUAAGACCUAGCUAUUAUCAAUAAUUUUAGUCCAUUAAAUGCGGUCUUAGUGAAAGGGUGUUCCUUUAUCAUGGUUGAAGGUUGCAUGACUUCUGCUAGGUGUUUUGAUACUUUUCAGUCUCUACUUGAAUGUUGCGUACCUAAUUUUUUAGUGGCCAACAAUCUUGCACUGAUUCUUGCUAGGGGUCAUCAAGGAAACUCAAUAGAUGGCUAUUUCAGUGGAGAUUAUACCAGAGAUGUUGUUUUGAAGUAAGCUCCUUCACACCAUUCUUUUGUAGUUCUUUCAGAAGUAAUGUUUCAUUCUUUUACUUGAGACUAGAGUGGUUGAUGCUCAUUCAUCUUAAUUUAAUACAGAGUAUAUGCCAGGAGAGAAAGAUAUACUUGAAACCCGAUGAGGUCAAUGAUGUGGAGAUUUUACCAGAGAUGUUGUUUUCAAGUAAGAUUUU
rnacentral:lncRNA from 1 species